rnacentral:lncRNA from 1 species
AUGGUGGCGGCAAAGCACGAAGGCAUUCGGCAGGUGCACCCGCGUAAAGGCAGCCUGGCUUCCAGGUCGUUGUGUGGCCUGGGACGCGAUGUCCGGGUUUCCCACCGUGGUUCCAGUGCAAUUACGGAGAGUUCCACUCUCUGUUCUGUCUUGGUUUGGACAACAAAUGCUGUGAGCAUCUUAUCACGACACAGCUGCCUCCUGGGUAAUUGUUCUCUCAUCCCGUUUAUGUUGUCAGGUUGCACAAGGUCUGGCCAUUGCACAGUUUUGUUUUGGGGACAAAGUGGUGACGGUCCUUUUCCUUGGCCAUCAGGUUUACUGAGCAUGCGUUCAGGUGCUAACCUCACCUUAUCCUCACACCUCGAUUUGCAGAGGGAACCAAGUGCGGCUGAGAGAAGACACAUUUCCUUCCGGCUGGCAAGUGGCAGAGGCGGGGUUCAUGCCAAGAGCUGUUCCUGAGAGAUGAAAACAGCUGGCACAACAGACGACCGCUGCCUGGCUUUGCUCAGGCUGCCACCACAGAGCACCGUAUGCUGGCGAGCUGAAGCGACAAAUGCUGAGUGCCCACAGUUCUGGAGCCUGGGAAGUGCAAGGUCAAGGUACAAAUGUUUGUGGAUGGGUAGAUGGAUGGGUGGAUGGAUGGGUGGAUGGCUGCAUGGAUAGGUGGAUAAAUGGAUGGGUGUGUGAUAGGCAACUGGACAGAUGACUAAAAUGAGUAAAAUUUCUCUUGUGUCCUCUCUUUGAUACCUGAGUCUAUGCCUCUUCACUACUUUCCGUUUUUGUCCAGUCCUUCAGCAAUAUUCAAAAUGUUUUCUCUGUGUGGAUGCAGUCUAGGCUCUGGGAUGUAGCAAAGACCGAAUUAGACAAAAUCUAUGCUUCUCUGGCAUUUGGGCUAUGGUUCCCUUGCUUCUGCAUGUUCUUGUCGCUCUCUCCAGGAAUCUUUUGCAGUAGGCGCAGCCUCUUUCUUCCUGGCCUUCUCCACCCACACGUGUUCUCUCUCCAGGACUGCUCUCUGCCUCCAGCUCUUUGCCCCAGAGGCAGACACCCCCAGCCCUGUGUCCUUAUGAGAAUCAGAGCCCUCUCUGCUGCUUUCUUCUACUCACAGCUCACUGCUGGCUUCUGACUGUAUUUUCCUUUAACAACUACUUAUGUCCCAGCCAGCCUCCAGUAGCCAGCAGUUUCUACAGAGCGCCGUGUUCUGUCCUGCCUGCUUUCCUAACCUAAGGUCACUUCUCAGUCCCCUGGGUGGCUCCUCCUGGGGAGCUUGUUUAAUUUCCUCUUUCCUUCUGGGUUGGCCAGGGAGGUCUGCCUCCCGUGUGCUUGGACAUGACCGUGGUCACUUAGCACAAAUAGCUUCUCUGUCCCUGGAAGUGCUGCAGAACUCGCCUGCACCUUAGAAGGUAAUUGCUUUCCUGCCUCCACGCCACCCGUAGUGUCACAGACUGCAAUGUUCCCACGUUUGCAACUCUCCUCUGUGCCAGAGAAAGAAAAGAUGAGCUUGUAUUUUCUGAGCCCCAAAUCAAGAAAUAUGAGUUGAAGGAUGCCUACUUCUCACCAUGUACAAAAACCAACUCAACAUGGAUCAAAGACCUAAAUGUAAGACCUGAAACUAUGAAAUUGCUAGGAGAAAACACAGAGGAAACACUGCAAGGCUUUGGUGAAGGCAAUGAUUUUUUUGGAUAAGUCCCAAAAGCACAGGCAACAAAGGCAAAACUAGACAAAUGAGAUUAUGUCAAACGCAGAGGCUCCUGCACAGCAAAGACACAAGAGUGGAGAGACAUCUGACAGAAAGGGAGAAAACAUUUGCAAGCUGCUUAUCCAACAAAGAUUAAUAUCCAGAAUACAUCAGAAACUCAAUAAAUUCAACAACAAACAACCCA